UGAGGAAUAUUGGUCAAUGGGCGGGAAGCCUGAACCAGCCAAGUCGCGUGAGGGAAUAAGGCCCUACGGGUCGUAAACCUCUUUUGCCGGGGAGCAAGGGCGGGGACGUGUCCCGGCCCGGAGAGUACCCGGAGAAAAAGCAUCGGCUAACUCCGUGCC
rnacentral:rRNA from 1 species